rnacentral:rRNA from 1 species
UACGAAGGGGGCUAGCGUUGCUCGGAAUCACUGGGCGUAAAGGGUGCGUAGGCGGGUCUUUAAGUCAGGGGUGAAAUCCUGGAGCUCAACUCCAGAACUGCCUUUGAUACUGAAGAUCUUGAGUUCGGGAGAGGUGAGUGGAACUGCGAGUGUAGAGGUGAAAUUCGUAGAUAUUCGCAAGAACACCAGUGGCGAAGGCGGCUCACUGGCCCGAUACUGACGCUGAGGCACGAAAGCGUGGGAGCAACAGGG